GGGAGGGGGAGAAUGGCGGCCAUGGUAUGCGUAUGGUAUAACUUCGUGUUUUCGGGGUUUUCGUGCCGGAAAAACUAUCAAAACCUACAAGUAGGCUAACUCACGGAAUCUUUAUGUAGUGUUUUCUUAACGACGAUGGAAGUAGAUUCCUGCACACUGACACAAGCCAACACGACACGGCCAUAUUGGAUAUCAACAACCUCUUUAUUACCUCAAAACGAGGCAGGUACCACAGGGUACCCAAAAUGGCUAACACUACACUUUACUUACUAGCAAAGUUUUUUGCAUACUCUUGUGAAUUUGUAUACUUGCAAUGAUUAUUUAAUAGUUGCACGGAUAGUUUGGCAUAACUUGAUUUGCAAAUUGAUACUAUAGUGCGAAAAUGAAUUUUGAAACGUUUGGCGCCUGAUGACCCCUCCUCUUCAACGACAAUGUGAGUGCGUCACAAAGCGAUGGCAGAACGAUGAAAACAGGGCUGGAUACAAAGGUUUGAUGUUUAAUUGAGAUUUGUAAAAACAAAUGGGGAAACGGGAAAUUCGAAAUCGCUCGUUGCGAACACCAGAAAAACCCGAAAACACCUAUAACCGAAAUAUAUCUCGCAGAGCCAAAGAUCAAUCCCUCCUCUUCAAUGACAAUGGUCCUUAUGCCGAGGUUAAGCCCUCAACUCUUACCACUUGUGUCAAAUUCCGGAGACGAAAAGUAGGAUAAAGAAGUGCUGAAUCUCUCUUUGCACAAGUCGAGGGGAUAAAUACGGCUUUACGAAGUCUUGGGUUCAAGAGAGAGAAGAUAAGUUAGCCAUGACACUAAGCUACAUUUAGCAACCGAGAGAUCGGAAACUACAACCGACAAAUCCGAAUUUAGCUUACCGUUUGUGCUUGUUAUUGACAGUAAAUGCCAAUAAAGGAAUGGUGAAGAUCGAUAUUGAUCAAAGCGAUGGUAGGUAUAUGGUUCUAUAAGCCCAAAGCCAGUGAAUGUGAGCUCCGCAAAACACCCAACACCCAAACAGGAAACAGGAAAUUCUACUAGCGAAAGUGAAAGUCAGAUUGGCGGGGACUCCCCUUAUUUAUAUUCAUGUAGUACCAGGCUUUCUCAAGAAUAAAAUACACAGGUAUCUUACAAAAACAAAAACAAAAAAGUAAAAGGAGGUUAUGAGCUAUGAGCUUUAUGGGACUCAGAUUCUUGUUUAUUACUAAGCAAUCACGUGACAUUGGGAAUAAUACAAUUAUCUUGCCAGCAAUUUGCUGCACAUCAACCAAACUUGGGUCUAAUAAUGUAUAACGGUAGAUGGACAAGUCACAGAUCGCGUGACCGUGGGAAAAUUACGAAUAUCUCACCUGCUGCUCAUCAAC